GUAACACGUGGGCAACCUGCCUGUAAGUUGGGGAUAACUCCGGGAAACCGGGGCUAAUACCGAAUGAUAAAGUGUGGCGCAUGCCACGCUUUUGAAAGAUGGUUUCGGCUAUCGCUUACAGAUGGGCCCGCGGUGCAUUAGCUAGUUGGUAGGGUAAUGGCCUACCAAGGCAACGAUGCAUAGCCGACCUGAGAGGGUGAUCGGCCACACUGGGACUGAGACACGGCCCAGACUCCUACGGGAGGCAGCAGUAGGGAAUCUUCCGCAAUGGACGAAAGUCUGACGGAGCAACGCCGCGUGUAUGAAGAAGGUUUUCGGAUCGUAAAGUACUGUUGUUAGAGAAGAACAAGGAUAAGAGUAACUGCUUGUCCCUUGACGGUAUCUAACCAGAAAGCCACGGCUAACUACGUGCCAGCAGCCGCGGUAAUACGUAGGUGGCAAGCGUUGUCCGGAUUUAUUGGGCGUAAAGCGCGCGCAGGCGGUCUUUUAAGUCUGAUGUGAAAGCCCCCGGCUUAACCGGGGAGGGUCAUUGGAAACUGGAAGACUGGAGUGCAGAAGAGGAGAGUGGAAUUCCACGUGUAGCGGUGAAAUGCGUAGAUAUGUGGAGGAACACCAGUGGCGAAGGCGACUCUCUGG
rnacentral:rRNA from 1 species